rnacentral:rRNA from 1 species
UAAGGAAUAUUGGUCAAUGGACGCAAGUCUGAACCAGCCAUGCCGCGUGAAGGAUGAAGGUCCUCUGGAUUGUAAACUUCUUUUAUCUGGGACGAAAACGGGAUUUUUAUCUCAAUUGACGGUACCAGAGGAAUAAGCACCGGCUAACUCCGUGCCAGCAGCCGCGGUAAUACGGAGGGUGCGAGCGUUAUCCGGAUUUACUGGGUUUAAAGGGUGCGUAGGUGGGCUUAUAAGUCAGUGGUGAAAUCUCCGAGCUUAACUUGGAAACUGCCGUUGACACUAUAGGUCUUGAAUUAUCUGGAGGUAAGCGGAAUAUGUCAUGUAGCGGUGAAAUGCUUAGAUAUGACAUAGAACACCAAUUGCGAAGGCAGCUUACUACAUAUAAAUUGACGCUGAGGCACGAAAGCGUGGGGAUCAAACA